rnacentral:rRNA from 1 species
AAAUUGAAGAGUUUGAUCAUGGCUCAGAUUGAACGCUGGCGGCAGGCCUAACACAUGCAAGUCGAGCGGUAGCACAGAGAGCUUGCUCUCGGGUGACGAGCGGCGGACGGGUGAGUAAUGUCUGGGAAACUGCCUGAUGGAGGGGGAUAACUACUGGAAACGGUAGCUAAUACCGCAUAAUGUCGCAAGACCAAAGUGGGGGACCUUCGGGCCUCAUGCCAUCAGAUGUGCCCAGAUGGGAUUAGCUAGUAGGUGGGGUAACGGCUCACCUAGGCGACGAUCCCUAGCUGGUCUGAGAGGAUGACCAGCCACACUGGAACUGAGACACGGUCCAGACUCCUACGGGAGGCAGCAGUGGGGAAUAUUGCACAAUGGGCGCAAGCCUGAUGCAGCCAUGCCGCGUGUGUGAAGAAGGCCUUCGGGUUGUAAAGCACUUUCAGCGGGGAGGAAGGCGUAAGGUUAAUAACCUUGCGAUUGACGUUACCCGCAGAAGAAGCACCGGCUAACUCCGUGCCAGCAGCCGCGGUAAUACGGAGGGUGCAAGCGUUAAUCGGAAUUACUGGGCGUAAAGCGCACGCAGGCGGUCUGUCAAGUCGGAUGUGAAAUCCCCGGGCUCAACCUGGGAACUGCAUUCGAAACUGGCAGGCUAGAGUCUUGUAGAGGGGGGUAGAAUUCCAGGUGUAGCGGUGAAAUGCGUAGAGAUCUGGAGGAAUACCGGUGGCGAAGGCGGCCCCCUGGACAAAGACUGACGCUCAGGUGCGAAAGCGUGGGGAGCAAACAGGAUUAGAUACCCUGGUAGUCCACGCCGUAAACGAUGUCGAUUUGGAGGUUGUGCCCUUGAGGCGUGGCUUCCGGAGCUAACGCGUUAAAUCGACCGCCUGGGGAGUACGGCCGCAAGGUUAAAACUCAAAUGAAUUGACGGGGGCCCGCACAAGCGGUGGAGCAUGUGGUUUAAUUCGAUGCAACGCGAAGAACCUUACCUGGUCUUGACAUCCACAGAACUUAGCAGAGAUGCUUUGGUGCCUUCGGGAACUGUGAGACAGGUGCUGCAUGGCUGUCGUCAGCUCGUGUUGUGAAAUGUUGGGUUAAGUCCCGCAACGAGCGCAACCCUUAUCCUUUGUUGCCAGCGGUCCGGCCGGGAACUCAAAGGAGACUGCCAGUGAUAAACUGGAGGAAGGUGGGGAUGACGUCAAGUCAUCAUGGCCCUUACGACCAGGGCUACACACGUGCUACAAUGGCAUAUACAAAGAGAAGCGACCUCGCGAGAGCAAGCGGACCUCAUAAAGUAUGUCGUAGUCCGGAUUGGAGUCUGCAACUCGACUCCAUGAAGUCGGAAUCGCUAGUAAUCGUAGAUCAGAAUGCUACGGUGAAUACGUUCCCGGGCCUUGUACACACCGCCCGUCACACCAUGGGAGUGGGUUGCAAAAGAAGUAGGUAGCUUAACCUUCGGGAGGGCGCUUACCACUUUGUGAUUCAUGACUGGGGUGAAGUCGUAACAAGGUAACCGUAGGGGAACCUGCGGUUGGAUCACCUCCUUA